AUGCUAUGAUACCAAAUUAACCACACAUUUUCCUUGACAUUAAUCGCUUAUACAUCUAUAUGCUAAUACUGUCAAUGUUUGGAGCUUCCCUAACAGGUUGUGCUGAAAGAAAACGAUACUGAUAUUUCUAGCCAGCAAAGGGGGAAAAAAGAUUAAUUUGGAAUGUUAUUUCAAGUGUUUUAUUGAGAUUCCGUUGUUGAUGUUAUUGUAUGGUUGUUAUUUUGGUUGUUAUAUCUUAUUGACACGUUUGGAUGUCAAUAAUAAGAUGAACACUGGACAUGUACCUUAUUUGUUAUUGGAAAUAAUGAGUUUUUUUGUUUUGUUUUUGUUUUUGUUUUUGUUUUUGUUUUUUUGUUUUUGUUUUUGUUUUUGUUUUUGUUUUUGUUUUUUUUGAGAGAACUAAAUGCUCCGAGUCAAAUUAUGUUAUCUAAUUUGUGGUUUAAAUGUUAG
rnacentral:lncRNA from 1 species